rnacentral:rRNA from 1 species
AUUGAGCGCUGGCGGCAUGCCUUACACAUGCAAGUCGAACUGUAACAGGUCUUCGGAUGCUGACGAGUGGCGAACGGGUGAGUAAUACAUCGGAACGUGCCUAGUAGUGGGGGAUAACUACUCGAAAGAGUGGCUAAUACCGCAUGAGAUCUACGGAUGAAAGCAGGGGAUCGCAAGACCUUGUGCUACUAGAGCGGCCGAUGGCAGAUUAGGUAGUUGGUGGGAUAAAAGCUUACCAAGCCGACGAUCUGUAGCUGGUCUGAGAGGACGAUCAGCCACACUGGGACUGAGACACGGCCCAGACUCCUACGGGAGGCAGCAGUGGGGAAUUUUGGACAAUGGGCGCAAGCCUGAUCCAGCAAUGCCGCGUGCAGGAUGAAGGCCUUCGGGUUGUAAACUGCUUUUGUACGGAACGAGAAGCCCUGGGUUAGUACCCUGGGGUCAUGACGGUACCGUAAGAAUAAGCACCGGCUAACUACGUGCCAGCCGCCGCGGUAAUAC